rnacentral:rRNA from 1 species
AGUAGUUUGUCCUGGCUACAGGACGACGCUGGCGGCGUGCUUAACACAUGCAAGUCGAACGGUAAGGCCCUUCGGGGUACACGAGUGGCGAACGGGUGAGUAACACGUGGGUGAUCUGCCCUGCACUUCGGGAUAAGCCUGGGAAACUGGGUCUAAUACCGGAUAGGACCAUGGACUUCACGGUUUGUGGUGGAAAGCUUUUGCGGUGUGGGAUGGGCCCGCGGCCUAUCAGCUUGUUGGUGGGGUAAUGGCCUACCAAGGCGACGACGGGUAGCCGGCCUGAGAGGGUGUCCGGCCACACUGGGACUGAGAUACGGCCCAGACUCCUACGGGAGGCAGCAGUGGGGAAUAUUGCACAAUGGGCGCAAGCCUGAUGCAGCGACGCCGCGUGAGGGAUGACGGCCUUCGGGUUGUAAACCUCUUUCAAUAGGGACGAAGCGCAAGUGACGGUACCUAUAGAAGAAGCACCGGCCAACUACGUG